UACGAAGGGGGCUAGCGUUGCUCGGAAUCACUGGGCGUAAAGCGCACGUAGGCGGCUUUUUAAGUCAGGGGGUGAAAUCCUGGAGCUCAACUCCAGAACUGCCUUUGAUACUGAGAAGCUCGAGUCCGGGAGAGGUGAGUGGAACUGCGAGUGUAGAGGUGAAAUUCGUAGAUAUUCGCAAGAACACCAGUGGCGAAGGCGGCUCACUGGCCCGGUACUGACGCUGAGGUGCGGAAAGCGUGGGGAGCA
rnacentral:rRNA from 1 species